CCCGCUGAACUUAAGCAUAUCAAUAAGCGGAGGAAAAGAAACCAACAGGGAUUGCUCUCAGUAACUGCGAGUGAAGCGGCAAAAGCUCAAAUUUGAAAUCUGGUACCUCUGGGUGCUCGAGUUGUAAUUUGGAGAGGCAACUUCGGAGGGGGCGCUGGCCUAAGUUCCUUGGAACAGGACGUCACAGAGGGUGAGAUUCCCGUGCUUGGCUGGCUGUCCUCCUUCAUGUGAAGUGUCUUCGACGAGUCGAGUUGUUUGGGAAUGCAGCUCAAAAUGGGUGGUAAACUCCAUCUAAGGCUAAAUACUGGCGAGAGACCGAUAGCGCACAAGUAGAGUGAUCGAAAGAUGAAAAGCACUUUGAAAAGAGAGUUAAACAGUACGUGAAAUUGUUGAAAGGGAAGCGCUUGAGACCAGACUCGGUGAUUGGUGAUCAGCUGGUAGCUUCUGCUCCGUGCACUUGCCUUUUGCUGGCCCAGCAUCAGUUGCGACGUGCAGGAUAAAGGCUCAGGGAAUGUGGCUCUCUUCGGGGAGUGUUAUAGCCCUGGGUGUAACGCUGCCUGCCGCGACUGAGGACCGCGCUUCGGACAUAGGAUGCUGGCAUAAUGCUCUUCAGCGACCCGUCUUGAAACACGG
rnacentral:rRNA from 1 species